rnacentral:snoRNA from 14 species
CCUGUAUAUAAGUUUGGGUGAACUGACAACUUUAAGAUAAUUUUGUCCACCUGCAUAUUCGUACAACUUCUCAGAGUCCUGUGGACAAUGACUGAGGAGGAAAACCAUGCAGGAAACAGUC